AGCCUUCUGUAUCCGUUCUGAGAUGUAGUCAGCGGUCAAACCAUUAGGGCUGAUGCAACUUCUCAGAUAAGUGAAGUG
rnacentral:pre_miRNA from 1 species